AAAAAAAACUAUAGUAUGUCAUAAAAAGCAAAGAAAAAAGGUAUCAGUGAUUACGGUGAAGGUCGUACCGUUUCUGGUCAAUCAUCAUGGUGAUGAUUGAAGUUAAGAGGGAGAGAGUCAUCUGUAGUCAAACCGACAGAAGUCAAAUUUCAACCAGCCUCCAGUCUUAAACAAGGCUUUCGUUACUUACUACAGUUGCUGGGAGAAUGAAGGAAAAUGAGUCAGGUAUCCAUUUCAAGUUUAAGUACAUCCCUUAUCCAGUGGCUCGGAGUAUUAGUGUAUGAAGUCUCCCGGAUUGACUUCAUCAAGACGUG